GAAGCAAAUAUUUUGCAUAAAGUAGGCUUCAAAAUUGAGCUGACCCAGGGUCAAGACACAGAACUGGUAGCUCUAGACUAGAUUCCCAAAAUUCUGAAGCUCCAAUUUAGAUAACGAGCAUAUACUAGAGACAGUACUACACCAGUACUACACCUGUCAAUCAAUGAAUGGUAUCAUAUCCAUUGCAGAAUUAAAAUAUACGCCAGGGAAAACGUAUAUUUUGGGAGGUGGAGGGCUUUUGUUAUGUUUAGAGUUCGCCUUUCCUACAGCUGCUCCAUGUUCUUUAGACUUUGAAACAUGACACAAUUAAAAAGACAUAAGAUUAGUUGUUUUUUUUGUGUGUUUUUUUUACAAUUUUUCAUAUAAAAAUUAAAUUUGUACAAAUUCACAUCACAAACUUCUGAAACCAAAGUCAAGAACUGGAAAAAGAAAAAAAAUUUUUUUUUGUUUUUUGAAAUACUUAAAAAAAACAUUCAAAAUGAAAAAUAAUUCAUAAAACAAAUGAUACGAGUGACAAGUUUACAGUGAAGAUACCAACAAAAGACAAAGGGACACAAUAACGUAGCAGCGUCCAAUCAAGAAGACAUAGUAGCUACUUACAAGUUAUAAAGUUAUAAAUAUUUAUGAAGCAACAAAUACUAUAAAUAUAUAUCGAGCAAAACAAAUUUAGUUUAUAUUGAAUAUAAUUAUUGGCAUAAUAGAAAUCCCCCCCC